UAGGAAGGGGGCAAGCGUUGUUCGGAAUCACUGGGCGUAAAGCGCGCGUAGGCGGACCGAUAAGUUGGGGGUGAAAGCCCAGGGCUCAACCCUGGAACUGCCUUCAAUACUGUCGGUCUCGAGUUCGGGAGAGGUGAGUGGAAUUCCUAGUGUAGAGGUGAAAUUCGUAGAUAUUAGGAAGAACACCAGUGGCGAAGGCGGCUCACUGGCCCGAUACUGACGCUGAGGUGCGAAAGCGUGGGGAGCAAACAGG
rnacentral:rRNA from 1 species